rnacentral:rRNA from 1 species
AUUGAACGCUGGCGGCAGGCCUAACACAUGCAAGUCGAACGAGUGGCGGACGGGUGAGUAAUUUCUGGGAAACUGCCUGAUGGAGGGGGAUAACUACUGGAAACGGUAGCUAAUACCGCAUCCCAUCGGAUGUGCCCAGAUGGGAUUAGCUAGUAGGUGGGGUAACGGCUCACCUAGGCGACGAUCCCUAGCUGGUCUGAGAGGAUGACCAGCCACACUGGAACUGAGACACGGUCGAGAAUCCUGCGGGAGGCAGCAGUGGGGAAGAUUGCACAAUGGGCGCAAGCCGGAUGCAGCCAUGCCGCGUGUAUGAAGAAGGCCUUCGGGUUGUAUAGUACUUUCAGCGGGGAGGCGUUACCCGAAGGAGGAGCACCGGCUAACUCCGUGCCAGCCGCCGCGGUAAUAC